rnacentral:rRNA from 1 species
AUGCAGCAACAACGCAACAAUGCCUCCAAGAAGGUCUACGAUGCCUGUAGCCGCCGCCAUCAUGGGUCACAGACCCAAUGCCAUGACAAGGUCUUCACCCAAGCUCCCAACAAGCCCAACCCGCACAUGAACUUAUCCGGCCAUAUAUUUGACCAUGCAAGUUUAAUUAAUAUAGUCAUGCAAGUUGAAUUGCAAGAUUUGACUUUGCAGGAAACGGAACAUGAACUUAUCCAGACAUAUAUUAAAAAUAAUAAUCAACACCAUCUGCAAUAUAUUACUCUCUUCGGACCAAGAGUUCCCCUCGUAUUUUUCGGCCUAACAUUAGUUACCAAUUUAAUCAAUAAAAUACUCCCUCCGUCCGAAAAAGCUUGUCUAUCUUGA